ACGCAGUGAGGGCGUCCACAGAGCAUACCGUGCCCCCGCCCUCCGCCAAUCUCGCAGCUGUCACCAGCGCCCGCCCCAUCCAUGGCGCCCAACGCAUUCAACACCGGAUCCCCCGCCAAUCUCGCAGCCGUCACCAGCCCCGUCCCCGCAGCCGUCACCAACGCCCGCCCCAUCCAUGCCGCCCAACGAAUUCAACCCCAGAUCCCUCGGUAUGGUGCCGGAGACCGCGCCCUUCCCACCUUCCCCACCGGAUCCGGCAUGGCAGAUCCAUGGCGCCCACCGGAUCCCUCUCCCUUGCCCUCUUCAAUACCGGAUCGACCGCGCCAUUCACCACCGCACUCACCUACUAUCGAUGGCCCGUCCACCAUUAUCGAUGGCCCGCCCGCCUCGCUGGCUCCCCUCUCCCUCCUCUCUCGCUCCACCCCUCCCAACUGCCCCUAGCCUAACUCGGGCCACAGAGCGGCCGCCCCCUUCACCGGAGAGGUGGCAUCCCACGUCGGACGCAGAGGUGCACCUGCGUCGGCGCCACGACACUUGACCCAGGUGAGGUCGCUGUCGAUGCCACCAUGUCUUCUUCAUCUAUCUACUAGCCUCAUCUCGCCGGCGACGAGAUCCACCGCACCGCCUUCCUUCCCGUAUUCCCUCGCCGUCCCAUUCUAUAAGGAUCUCCGCCGUCAUCCCGGGAUAGUUCUCCGAGAUCAGCCCCAUGUGGCCUGGUGCGUCCCGCUGCUCUGCUUGUGGGCGUCCACAUUUGCUUCACCGUGCCCCGCCAGCCGCAGCUCCGUGCGCAAGGAGAGAAACAUGGGGACCUGAUCCUGGACGAUCGCAGGGACAACAUGGAGCUGUCGAUUGUUGGAUCGGAUAGCAGGGUCUUGGGCGCCACCGUGGCGCACGAGCUUAGAGCGUGUGCAUCCAACAGCAGGUGAGCGGCGGCGUGCACGGUAAGCCGCAGGGCAGCACGGGCCAUGAGCACGAAAUCUGCCUCCACGGUUUCGUGCCUGACUAGGUGGGGAUUGGCUGCAUAGAAGAAACACACAUCAGAUCAAUAUAUGCUUAACGAGUGCUUGAUUAAAUGCUGGAACAAAACAUCGUGUCCUAGGUGACAAUGGUCUCUAAGUAAGGCGAGAAUGGCCACCCAUGGGAAUCACUGGAUCUGUUUGCGCUCGUCAUCUGGUCCAGCACUAGGUCUUGAGCAUGAGUAGUGUAGGAGCUCCAGGACCAGUUCUUCCCCUUCUCACAGAAUCGCCCUCCCUGAGGUGCCAAACCUUCUAAUUUUGUAUAACUUCAAUGAAUCCUUGAAAAAGCAUUGAUGCUUUGUAACUGGUUGCAUACACCUCACAUAUUUUUUCAUCUAUGUGUCCAACUGCAAUGCAUUAGAAUUCAGCUAUGAUAUGGCAUAAUAGAUUAUAACAGUAGUGCUUUUCUUUAGUUCCACAUACACUAUGUUGAUGCUUCUAAAAAUUCUAGGUUUACUUUAAUGUAUAUACAUACACUAUAUCUCUGUUAUUGUGAACUUGAUUCUUUUCUCCUUUUUUCUGAACAUUUUCCUGGAAUAGGAAUAACCUCAAACUUGUGUGCCUUAAUAAAUCUUGAUUUAAUGGCAGAUAUUGAAACCCUUGAAGUUGAGAGUGCCACAAAUGGAGAUAAGAAUCUAGAUAAUGCUCUUAUGUGGCACGAUAAGAAAAACAUAAGGGUCACAAAAAUAUUUUAAGUUUUAUGUGGUUUCAGUUCUUGCAAAAGUAAAGUAGUUCUGAUCGCAGAAAUAUUUUGCUCUUUUUAAUUCCUUGGUAUAUGUACAUUGACAAGUAUGUGAUAUUAUAAUAUUUGAAGAGUUGCCAUUUUGAUCAUCAUCUUCAUUUAUACUUUUUAGGUCAGAUCUAUUAAAGCAUCAGCAUUAAUUUUACAAGCUUUUGGUUUAGUUGUAUGUGAUAUUAGCUUAAUGUUUGGGUCAGAUCUAAUCAUGUAGUGUACAAUGCAUGUUUGUUUCCAAAUACUACUAAAUUAACUAUAAACAUUAAGCUUUAAUGCAGCUAUCUGCAAUUUUUAAAUACUAUGCUUUCCCCGGUCUGUCCUUUUCAUCAUUCAUAUCCUCCCGGCUCUAAACUUGCAGGGACUUGAGCAACAACUACUUGCACGAUUCAAUUCCUUACCAGCUGCCAUCAAACCUUACCUAUCUGAACCUGGCGAAAAACAACUUCUCUGGUAAUCUUCCGUACUGCAUAUCCAACUUGGUCUCGCUUGAGUACCUGUAAGUUACUAUUCCAUUGGUAAAGAUGUGAUUUGUUCAGUGAUGAUAUUUUUGGUUAGCACAAUCUAACUGCAGUGAACCACUGCCUGCAACAACCUUAGCCACAACUCGUUGUUUCAGGAAAUUGGAGAAUUGUUUGGAAGCCUCAGUUCACUCGCAGAACUGUAAGGCAUACUGAACCGCUGUUUUCGUACGCAAGCUCGACUUGAGUAUUGUGUGGUUGAAAUUUUUGAUCCUGUACAAACUAUUUCAGUAUUGACUGUUUUCUUCAUUAGAAAAUAAGUGUAAUUUUGAGCACAUAUAUAAUAUUCAAAAUAUAACAUUGCCACCAAAUAAAAAUGCAACAUACUUCAUCUGGCCACAAAUUUAAGCCCUUCUACGUCUGUCCUAAGUCAAAAAAAAGUUAACUCUGACUAACAAUAUAUUAUCUGAGAUUAAAAUUUAUUAUAUUAUAAAAUUAGUUUGUUUGCAGAUACAACUUUUUUUAGGAAAAUGUUUUUUUAAAAAAAUGCAUUCACAAUCACUUGAUCUGUCCAAGUGAGGAUGAUGAUAUUGUCAGUAUGAUGAUUAACUGCUCUUAACCCUAUGAAUUUCAUCGUAUUAUAACUACAAUCCUUGGAGAGACAUAUCUUACAACAACCUCACGAGAAUCUUCCUUUCUCAAUGGGCUCUCUGUCAAAACUUUCUAGCCUCUAAGUAUUAUUCAGAUGCUCCCCAUAUAUCUGUAUUUCUUUCUCGUGGCUCUGAUAGUUUCCUUCUUGUGCCUGUUAUGCAAAACAAUCAGCUGUCGGGCAUGGUUGAUGUCGUCAGCAACAUAAGCCUUGCAACACUGUAAGUAGCUUCCCACACACACACCUUGGUUCGCACUCGCACCGAAAACAAUUUUGAGCUAAUAUUAUUGGUGACUAUGCAUUCCACUCAACUUCCGCACGGUGCUUCUAAUUAAAUGAAGUUAACCAAUUGCAGAAUGGAACUGAUUCUGCAUUCCAGGCUGUUGACAAUAAACCAUCCCAAACAUGCUACCUAAUGGCUCUAGAUCAUGCUACAAACAAUUAUGGAACAAGUUGUCGCAUCUUUUUCCCUUUCUUUAUAAUAACAAUUAGAUUGAAUUUGCUUAAAAUUUCCCUUGUCCCAUUGUAAUUUCUGAAACUUAGAUUGAAUUUGCAUCUUUUCCCUUUCUUUGUUCAUUUAAUCAUUGUGUACUAACAUUUUGUCAAAUAGUUCAUGUUCAUUUAAACUUUUCUUCUAUUAGACUGAUAGUAUUUCACAUACUAUACUAAAUGAGUGUGAGUCCACUGUUCUGUUCUUUAACCUCUCUCUAGGAAGAAUCCAUGGUCUGUAUUGUUUUACUGAAAAGGGGAUGUGCUAACUUGUUGAGAUUACACAUGGCAUUUACAUUUGUAUAUGUUUUGUCCAUUUCCAUUUCUUAAAUAAAAUAUCCUUUGCAGAUUUUUAUCACAGUUUACUUCUUCAAAGCAACCAUGGAUGAAAAUUUCAGUUUAGCUGAUAUUGAGGUAGCUCUGAUCCCAAUCUUGACAGGGUCAUGUGAAUACGUUAGUGCCUUAGUGGAGAUUAUUUGAUACGACCUUCAAAGUUCAAACAUUUCUUACAAUAAUAAUUGAUAUCUGUUACUCAGAACCACAUUCGAACCUUGUAUAUGACUUAAAGGUUUUUAAUAAAACUAGACUCCACUCCACUAGGUAUGACCCCCCUAAUCCCCGUCCUCACCUUCAUGCCAUCAGUAUUUUCAUGUUAGUACACUAACUGCGCCCUCAUGUAGGCUUUCUGUGCGCUCCUGGACAAGCAAUUGCAGUUUGGAAGGAUAAGCAAUUGUGGUCUCAUGUAGGGUUUCUGUCUUCUUAUAUUUAACAACUCUUUCACCUAACAUCUUGAGGUGACUUUAGUUUCUUGUCUUUUAUAUGUAUCCUGACAUAAAACCACUGCCUAUUUUCUAUUUGUGCAUGUGCAGAUAUUUCAUAUAUUUAACAACUCUUUCACCGGACCUCUUGGGGCGACUUUACUUUCUCGUCUUUUAUGUAUCCUGGCAUGAAACCAAUGCUUAUUUUCUAUUCGUGCAUGUGCAGGUGUUGUACUGUUUCUUAUAAUUUUCCAGCAACUUUGAUUGGGAGGAAUUUUGUUUGAGCUUGUGGGCCCAAUUCAUAUCAGUUCCCUUACAGAUAUGACAGGUGUACACAUCUGACUUAACAUCACUUUUCUUAUGGACCUGUCUAAGGUGCAAAGGCCACACAAAGGGAUUUGGGGGUGAUAUAUAGAGAUCAUAGUACAUGUGGAGAAGGUUGACUAUCUUUGGUAUUUCAGCAAUGCUCUUUUGCUUCACUCAGUGUUCAAUGCAAACUUAUGUUUGAUUAUUUGUUAAAACUGUGUACGCAUUUGCUGGACCCUCGAUCCAUUUCUCCUUGUUUUGACAAUGCUGUUAUGACAAAAUUUACACUGCAUUACCAGGA